AACGAACGCUGGCGGCAGGCUUAACACAUGCAAGUCGAGCGCCCCGCGAGGGGAGCGGCAGACGGGUGAGUAACGCGUGGGAAUCUACCCAUCUCUACGGAAUAACGCAUGGAAACGCGUGCUAAUACCGUAUACGUCCUUAGGGAGGAAGAUUUAUCGGAGAAGGAUGAGCCCGCGUUGGAUUAGAUAGUUGGUGGGGUAAAGGCCUACCAAGGCGACGAUCCAUAGCUGGUCUGAGAGGAUGAGCAGCCACACUGGGGCAGAGACACGUCCCAGACUCCUACGGGAGGCAGGAAGGGGGAAUAUUGGACGAAGGGUGCAAGACUGAUCCAGACAUACCGCGUGAGUGAGGAAGGCCCUAAGGUUGUAGAGCGCUUUCACCGGUGAAGAUAAUGACGGUAACCGGCGAAGAGCCCCGGCUAACUACGUGCCAGCCGCCGCGGUAACAC
rnacentral:rRNA from 1 species